rnacentral:tRNA from 1 species
GCCUGGAUGGCUUAGUCAGUAGAGCCUGUGACUCUUUAUCAUGGGGUCAUGAGUUCAAGCCCCAUGCUGGGUA